GACGAACGCUGGCGGCGUGCUUAACACAUGCAAGUCGAACGCUGAAGCUCAGCUUUUGUUGGGUGGAUGAGUGGCGAACGGGUGAGUAACACGUGAGUAACCUGCCCCCUUCUUUGGGAUAACUCCCGGAAACUGGUGCUAAUACUGGAUAUUCACUGGUCUUGCCUGGUGGGGUGUGGGAAAGUGUGUUUCUGGGGGGGGAUGUGCUGGCGGCUUAACAUCUUGUUGGGGGGGUGGUGGCCUACCAAGUGUUUGACGGGUAGCUGGCCUGGGAGGGUGACUGGUCACAUUAGGAGUGAGAUAGGGCCCAGGAUACUGCGGGAGGCAGCAGUGGGGAAUACUGCACGAUGGGCGGAAGCAUGAUGCAGCGACGCAGGGUGCGGGAUGGAGGCCGGCGGGUUGGGAACCUCUUUGGAUCAUGCUCAAGCCGGUACAAUGGUUGUAGUGAGGGUAGUGGGUAAAGAAGCGCCGGCUAACUACGUG
rnacentral:rRNA from 1 species